UUCUCCAAAGAGAGACGUUCUCUACCAACCGUUUGGGGUGAGGUGAAGCCUCCAGGAUGUUGUACUUGUUGACAUGUUUGAGUUUGUUCUGUGCUCUACAAAGAAGUGUUUCAUCAGAUGAAGCGGUGUCACUUAAUUGCAAAAACACUGUCAGCGUUACAGCUGGAAAAAAUGUGACUCUAAAUUGUUCCAUAACUUCGACUUUUGGAGGGAAAGUGUGUACUGGUCAAAAGUAUGACUGGCGUAACACAAAUGGCAACAAACUAUGUGAAACCGAUGCCACAAAAUACACCUGUGCAUGGGAUGCCCUUACCUAUGUGUCACUGACCAUCUCAAAUGUCCAAGAAGAGGCAAAUGUCACAGCUGACAUCGUGUCAGACUGUGGAAUGGUGAAAUCACUUCCUAUCAGAGUACGGCUAAUCAGUGAUCCAAAAACAGACCAACCAACAACACCACCAGAUAACGGUCCAAGAACAGAACGCAGUGGGCAGCAGGAGGAGUCAACACACGUGACCACCAUUGUACUUUGUGUUUUUGCCUCUGCUGUAGUUGUGUUCAUUUUGUAUUUCCUGUAUAGAACUUACAGACGCAGAGUAAGAGAGAGGACAGUGACAUACACUGCACCAGUCAGUAAAGACUUCACGGUUGUUUAAAAAUGUAUUGUUUCUUUGUAUGAUUGUUUAUGAGUGCGAGGGGAAUAUGAAUGUAUAUGAAUGUAUGUGACAUAUUUUCUAUUUGUAAAAGAUGCUGCUCAUCACUGCUGACUCUUUGAUCAUCAUAUUGUUUGUUUGUUUUUUUAUUGGCUUUUUUAUUUUUAGUCAUUUUUAGACUUCUUUGAUGUCUUAUAUACAGUAACAAUAACAGGAUGUGAAUAACAGAGCGUUCACGUGACUUUCAGUCUGCUCAGUAAAAUGAAACAAUUAUGGGGAAACGUGGGAAUGUUCCUGUCUAACGGAUAAAGAUUUAAGAACAUUUGGGACUGAACCUGUUAUGUGUCUGAUGAAUGUCUACAGAUUAGUCACAGCUCUGACUAUUCAUUGUGCGAACAUCAGGUCAAUUUUGUUUACUUAUCAUCCACGAUCUAAUCAUGGGGAAAUGAUCCAAAGUUGGAUUACUUUGUAAAUCCACUGAUGUUUCUGUACCUUGACUUCUUUACAUAAUUGUGACCACAGCUCACAGUAAAAAUCAUCCAACUGUUACUUUAGGCUGUGAUGGAUGAAUGAAUGGAUAGAUGGGACUCUUGUGGACUGUGGAUAAUGCAUUUCCCUGUUCCACACAUGGAUUUUUGCCACCUGUGUAGCAUUACUAUAUGUUAACUCAAGUAAACUCAAAGACUGUGGCAAGACAGUCCGUCCACAUCAUUACAUCAUUACAGUGCUGCUGUUUUUGUUGCACAUUGGUUGGCACAUUAUCAGACAUAUACUUCCUUCAGAAAUGACAGAGAGCAAAAAAAGAGCAAAAGGAAGAUUGACUGGUAAUAUUUUUCCAGGCCUACGUGUAAACCACUGUUUGUUAAGAUGUUAGCCCAAAAUUAAAUGUCAGUGUUGUGUUUAUAGAUGUUUACAGCUAACGCCUAAUACUGGAGUUAAAAGAGUCACUUGUCACUACAAAAUAACUGUAAAUGUAAUA